AGAAUCAACGCUGGCGGCGUGCCUCAGACAUGCAAGUCGAACGCGAAAGUCCCCUUCGGGGGAUGAGUAGAGUGGCGCACGGGUGAGUAACACGUAGGUAAUCUACCUUCGGGUGGGGAAUAACCCAGGGAAACUUGGGCUAACACCGCAUAAUGCAGCGGCACCACAUGGUGACAGUUGUUAAAGCGGGGGAUUUUAGGACCUCGCGCCUGAAGAGGAGCCUGCGGCAGAUUAGCUAGUUGGUAAGGUAACGGCUUACCAAGGCGACGAUCU
rnacentral:rRNA from 1 species